GACAAAAAAACCUAACUUCAAAAUAAAAGCACAUCUGCCCUUGGAAUUCUGAGCAAAUAAGAACCCGCUAUAAUAUUCCAUAGAUCCGUUUCAGAAUUGCCACAGACUUAUUUCAAUAUGAGGAAGAUACUACGCCUUCAUAAAUUAAUACACAAUAGUGUUUCCAAGUUGGACAAUUUUAUUGUGAAAAACCAGUAAUGGAUAAAUAGUAACAGCAGCAACAUUUACUUUUCAGGACAUGAGCAAUUAUUGCAAAUAGUAUUUAGUCACAGUGACGUCACUUAAUGCAUUCAUGGUGAGAAGUCUCUUAAAAGAUGAAUGCAUAUGGAAGUAAAUCUGUGUCAUCAGAAUUUGAAUUUUAUAUGCCACUGAAAUUCUAACAUUGAAUAUUUAUGCAUUGGAAAUAUGCAUAUGAAAUUCGAUGGUCCGAAUUCACAUGCAAAAAUACGAGGUUAAAAAAUACAAAGUCAACAUUUCAAUGUUGCUCCAAUUCGAACAUGCAAAAAUACGAGGUUAAAAAAAUACAAAGUCAACAUUUCAAUGCUGCUCCAAUUCGAACAUGCAAAAAUACGAGGUUUAAAAAUACAAAGUCAACAUUUCAAUGCUGCUCCAAUUCGAACAUGCAAAAAUACGAGGUUUAAAAAUACAAAGUCAACAUUUCAAUGGUGCUACAAUUCGACGGUCCGAAUUCACAGGCAAAAAGUACGAUGUUAAAAAUACGAGUUAUACACCCGGGAUACCAAGGCUAAGCAAUCGAAUGUGUAUGAACUCGAACGUACGUCCUGCCAAUCAAGCCAUUGGUCACGUGACAUAAAGCGCGGGAUCAGAAGAGGUCGGCAGCAAUGGCAGGGAACGACAGCGCUUCGGGUAUGGAAAUCCCCAGUAUUGAUUGGGAAAACAGUGGAUUGCUUUUUGAUGACCACUCAAGCAUUAUUGUAUCUGACACAGAAUGCCCACUAACUGAUGGACAAAUGACAGCUUUAAGAGAUUCAGUUAACCCCAGAGCUGCAUCCCAGUCCUUUGGCUGUGACAUUUACAUUGCUGCAGUUCAGUUUUGUGAGCAUUUUCUUAAUUUGUGAAAGUACUGAUCUGGAAAGUUUUUAAUGGCUUCUGUAUUUUGACCCUAUUUUACAUUUUAUAUUACUGUUAAGGUGUUUAGAGGAUCUGAAUGAUAAUUACAAUAAAAGAGCAAUUUUAA